rfam:Schistosoma haematobium scaffold40_24, whole genome shotgun sequence.
AUACAGCUGAUGAGUACCAAAUAGGAGGAAACGUAUGUCCUGGAU